rnacentral:rRNA from 1 species
CCUACGGGAGGCAGCAGUGGGGAAUAUUGGACAAUGGGCGCAAGCCUGAUCCAGCCAUGCCGCGUGUGUGAAGAAGGCCCUCGGGUUGUAAAGCACUUUCAGUGAGGAAGAACGCCGUCGGGUUAAUACCCCGGCGGAAAGACAUCACUCACAGAAGAAGCACCGGCUAACUCCGUGCCAGCAGCCGCGGUAAUA